GGGGUCGUAGUCCAGCUUGGUCUAAGAUUCGAGGUUUGGGACCUCGCGACGCAGGUUCAAAUCCUGCCGACCCCA
rnacentral:tRNA from 1 species